UACGUAGGGUGCGAGCGUUGUCCGGAUUUAUUGGGCGUAAAGAGCUCGUAGGCGGUUUGUCGCGUCUGCUGUGAAAUCCCGAGGCUCAACCUCGGGCCUGCAGUGGGUACGGGCAGACUAGAGUGCGGUAGGGGGAGACUGGAAUUCCUGGUGUAGCGGUGGAAUGCGCAGAUAUCAGGAGGAACACCGAUGGCGAAGGCAGAUCUCUGGGCCGUAACUGACGCUGAGGAGCGAAAGCAUGGGGAGUGAACAGG
rnacentral:rRNA from 1 species